ACGAACGCUGGCGGCGUGCUUAAGACAUGCAAGUCGAGCGGGGGGACCCAGAGCAGCUUGCUGUGAGGGUUCCCUAGCGGCGGACGGGUGAGUAACGCGUGGGCAACCUACCCGCGAAUCGGGGACAACAGUGGGAAACCGCUGCUAACACCGGAUGAGCUUUUCUGACCGCAUGGUCGGGGAAGGAAAAGGCAGCCUCUGCAUAGCAAGCUGUCGUUCGCGGAUGGGCCCCGCGUCCCAUUAGCUAGUUGGUGGAGGUAACGGCCCACCAAGGCGACGAUGGGUAGCCG
rnacentral:rRNA from 1 species